rnacentral:rRNA from 1 species
GGAUUAGCGGCGGACGGGUGAGUAACACGUGAGUAACCUGCCUUAGACAUUGGGACAGCCUCGGGGAACCGGGAUUAAUACCAAAUAAAAUCAUAAUGACGCAUGUCAUAACGAUCAAAACUCCGGUGGUCUAAGAUGGACUCGCGUCCCAUUAGCUAGUUGGUAGAGUGAAAGCCUACCAAGGCGACGAUGGGUAGCCGGCCUGAGAGGGUGAACGGCCACAUUGGAACUGAGAAACGGUCCAA